rnacentral:rRNA from 1 species
UACGGGGGGUGCGAGCGUUGUCCGGAAUCACUGGGCGUAAAGGGCGCGUAGGCGGCCUGUUAAGUCGGGGGUGAAAUCUUGCGGCUCAACCGCAAGGCUGCCUUCUAAACUGUCAGGCUGGAGCACGGUAGAGGCAGAUGGAAUUCCCGGUGUAGCGGUGGAAUGCGUAGAGAUCGGGAAGAACACCAGUGGCGAAGGCGGUCUGCUGGGCCGUUGCUGACGCUGAGGCGCGACAGCGUGGGGAGCAAACAGG